rnacentral:pre_miRNA from 1 species
AGGUCGUGAUAGGCGGCAAUGUUGUACCCGUGCCAAUAUUGCACUUGUCCCGGCCUUU